CAGCAGCCACGGGAAUACAGAGGGUGCGAGCGUUAAUCGGAUUUACUGGGCGUAAAGCGUGCGUAGGCGGCUUCUUAAGUCGGAUGUGAAAUCCCUGAGCUUAACUUAGGAAUUGCAUUCGAUACUGGGAAGCUAGAGUAUGGGAGAGGAUGGUAGAAUUCCAGGUGUAGCGGUGAAAUGCGUAGAGAUCUGGAGGAAUACCGAUGGCGAAGGCAGCCAUCUGGCCUAAUACUGACGCUGAGGUACGAAAGCAUGGGGAGCAAACAGGAUUAGAUACCCGGGUAGUCCCUGUCUCUUAUAC
rnacentral:rRNA from 1 species